CCUACGGGUGGCAGCAGUGGGGAAUAUUGGGCAAUGGAGGAAACUCUGACCCAGCAACGCCGCGUGAAUGAUGAAGGUCUUAGGGUUGUAAAGUUCUUUUCUAAGGGAAGAAGAAAGUGACGGUACCUUAGGAAUAAGCCUCGGCUAACUACGUGCCAGCAGCAGCGGUAAGACGUAGGAGGCGAGCGUUAUCCGGAAUGACUGGGCGUAAAGGGUGCGUAGGUGGUUUGGCAAGUUAGUAGCGUAACUCCAAGGCUCAACCUUGGAACUACUGCUAACACUGGUGUACUUGAGUGAAGGAGGGGCAACCGGAAUGCCUAGUGUAGCGGUGGAAUGCGUAGAUAUCAUGAGGAACCCCAGUGGCGAAGGCAGGUUGCUAGACUGUAACUGACACUGAGGCACGAAAGCGUGGGGAGCAAACAGGAUUAGAUACCCUUGUAGUC
rnacentral:rRNA from 1 species